rnacentral:rRNA from 1 species
GGCGGACGGGUGAGUAAUGUAUAGGAACUUGCCUAGUAGUGGGGGACAACGUGUGGAAACGCACGCUAAUACCGUAUACGCUCUACGGAGGAAAGCGGGGGAUCUUCGGACCUCGUGCUACUAGAUGGGCCUAUACUGGAUUAGCUAGUUGGUAAGGUAAAGGCUUACCAAGGCGACGAUCCAUAGCUGGUUUGAGAGAAUGAUCAGCCACACUGGGACUGAGACACGGCCCAG